ACAUGUGAAGGUGAUGUGGAUGUGAUGUCUGUCACUCCACUGAUUUCUGUGGUUGAUUUGCUUGAUCUGGCUGGCUAGGUGGGUGUCCCCUCCCUCCCUCGCUGUUCCAUGUGCAUCUCUCCCAAAGCUGCUUGCUUAGUGGAAGAAGUCAGCCCUUCCUUAAUAGAGGAGGACCAGUCUUUAGUCAAGGGUAAAUGACUAGCUGUGCUCCCCUGCUAGAACCUCCAAACUUUGAUUUUGAUUUUUCACUCCAAAUACUGCUUCA
rnacentral:sRNA from 1 species